CCUACUGGAGACUUCAUUAGGGCAUCUUCCACAAUGGGCGCAAGCCUGAUGGCUCCCCCUCGCUUUCUGUCUUCCUUUUUUCUUCUCUUUCCUCUCUUUUUUUUCCUCAUACCGUGCGUGAGAGUAACUGUUCACGCAGUGACGGUACCAAACCAGAAAGUCACGGCUAACUACGUGCCAGCAGCCGCGGUAAUACGUAGGUGGCAAGCGUUAUCCGGAUUUAUUGGGCGUAAAGCGAGCGCAGGCGGUUGCUUAGGUCUGAUGUGAAAGCCUUCGGCGUAACCGAAGAAGUGCAUCGGAAACCGGGGGACUUGAGUGCAGGAGAGGACAGUGGAACGCGAUGUGUAGCGGUGGAAUGCGUAGAUAUAUGGAAGAACACCAGUGGCGAAGGCAGCUGUCUGGUGUGCAACUGACGCUGAGGCUCGAAAGCAUGGGUAGCGAACAGGAUUAGAUACCCCGGUAGUC
rnacentral:rRNA from 1 species